rnacentral:rRNA from 1 species
GACGAACGCUGGCGGCGUGCCUAAUACAUGCAAGUCGAGCGGACCGACGGGAGCUUGCUCCCUUAGGUCAGCGGCGGACGGGUGAGUAACACGUGGGUAACCUGCCUGUAAGACUGGGAUAACUCCGGGAAACCGGGGCUAAUACCGGAUGCUUGAUUGAACCGCAUGGUUCCAAUCAUAAAAGGUGGCUUUUAGCUACCACUUACAGAUGGACCCGCGGCGCAUUAGCUAGUUGGUGAGGUAACGGCUCACCAAGGCGACGAUGCGUAGCCGACCUGAGAGGGUGAUCGGCCACACUGGGACUGAGACACGGCCCAGACUCCUACGGGAGGCAGCAGUAGGGAAUCUUCCGCAAUGGACGAAAGUCUGACGGAGCAACGCCGCGUGAGUGAUGAAGGUUUUCGGAUCGUAAAACUCUGUUGUUAGGGAAGAACAAGUACCGUUCGAAUAGGGCGGCACCUUGACGGUACCUAACCAGAAAGCCACGGCUAACUACGUGCCAACAGCCGCGGUAAUACGUAGGUGGCAAGCGUUGUCCGGAAUUAUUGGGCGUAAAGCGCGCGCAGGCGGUUUCUUAAGUCUGAUGUGAAAGCCCCCGGCUCAACCGGGGAGGGUCAUUGGAAACUGGGGAACUUGAGUGCAGAAGAGGAGAGUGGAAUUCCACGUGUAGCGGUGAAAUGCGUAGAGAUGUGGAGGAACACCAGUGGCGAAGGCGACUCUCUGGUCUGUAACUGACGCUGAGGCGCGAAAGCGUGGGGAGCGAACAGG